GACGAACCGUGCGACCGUUGUUCGGAUUCACUGGGCUUAAAGGGCGCGUAGGCGGGCGGUCAAGUCGGGGGUGAAAUCUUUCCGCUUAACGGGAAGCGUGCCUCCGAUACUGAUCGCCUCGAGGGAGGUAGGGGCAUGUGGAACUUCCGGUGGAGCGGUGAAAUGCGUAGAUAUCGGAAAGAACACCAACGGCGAAAGCACUCUGCUGGGCCGACACUGACACUGAGAGACGAAAGCUAGGGGAGCGAAUGGG
rnacentral:rRNA from 1 species